CCGCGUCCAGCGCGGUGACCAGCGCGGCGACGUCCUCGGCGUGGCGGGCCAGGCCCCACGGGCCGGGCAGGUCGCGGCUGGCGGCCCGGCC
rnacentral:tRNA from 1 species